ensembl:lncRNA
GGUCAUUUAGGGUGCCAUUUGGGAUUUAGCCAGAAGGAUAUAAUAAUGUGUAUUACAUUCAUUUAAAUAAAUUUAACUAAAGACAACAGGUCUCUCCCUAGACUAGUUACUGGUUACAGACAACAGGUCUCUCCCUAGACUAGUUACUGGUUACAGACAACAUGUCUCUCCCUAGACUAGUUACUGGUUACAGACAACAGGUCUCUCCCUAGACUAGUUACUGGUUACAGACAACAGGUCUCUCCCUAGACUAGUUACUGGUUACAGACAACAGGUCUCUCCCUAGACUAGUUAUAGGUUACAGACAACAGGUCUCUCCCUAGACUAGUUAUAGGUUACAGACAACAGGUCUCUCCCUAGACUAGUUACUGGUUACAGACAACAGGUCUCUCCCUAGACUAGUUACUGGUUACAGACAACAGGUCUCUCCCUAGACUAGUUACUGGUUACAGACAACAGGUCUCUCCCUAGACUAGUUACUGGUUACAGACAACAGACUGCAACGCAGGGCUUGGUCAAGAGAAGUGUUGUGUAGGAUGCCGUUUGAGGUGUGGCACUAUGGAAAGCAGCGUCUGGGAGGUCAAGGGUCAAAGACCACCCAGGCAGAGGUCAAGGGUGGGUGACCUCACUCUCUUUAACAGU